rnacentral:rRNA from 1 species
GCGGAGGAAAAGAAAAUAACAAUGAUUCCCCCAGUAACGGCGAGUGAACAGGGAAAAGCUCAAAGUUGGAACCUCCUGGCCCUAGGCCUGGCGGAUUGUAAACUAAAGCUCUCGAGUAGUUUGGCUAGCCCAGUAAUCAAGUUCUCUGGAAAGGGACGACAAAGAGGGUGAAAUCCCCGUUUUUGGCUGGAGCAUAGUCUUGCGUUUGCUUGGAAGCGAAGAGUCAGGUUGUUUGGUAUUGCAGCCUAAAGCUGGAGGUAAAUCUCUCCUAAAGCUAAAUAUUGACGAAAGACCGAUAGCGAACAAGUACCGUGAGGGAAAGAUGAAAAGCACCUUGAAAAGGGGGUCAAAAAGUACGUGAAAUUGCUGAAAGGGAACCGUAUGAAAUCAGCCUGUCCCUUUGGUAAUCAACCUGGACUUUGGUCUGGGUGCACUUGCCAGUGGGUACAGCCUGCGACAAUUUGAUUUGGGGGAAAAAAUCAGGGGGAAUGUGGCCUCGGCUUCGGUCGUGGUGUUAUAGCCCUUUGAAAAAUACCCUGGGUUGGAUUGAGGACUGCAGCGAGCCCUUUUGGGGGAUGAACUGUGGGCGCUUGGUUCGUGUUGGGAGGAAAUCUCUACUUUGGGUAGUGUUCUUCCAGCAUGAGCCAACCCGCCUACUUUUUCUUUUUCUCGCUUAGGUCGCAGCCUAAUGAUUUAUAUGAC